ensembl:lncRNA
CAACGUUUAUGAGCAGGUGUCUUUUGUAAUUCACUACUGAUUUUAUCUAGGGAGGUGCCCGCUUAAAGCAGCAUAGAGACGGGAGGUGUCUAUGAUUGUGUCAUUUCACUGCCUUUGCAAGCGAGUUACUGUCUGGGAUGAGCUGAUAAACCACAUCUGAUGAUCACAGUGGGUCUAGAAAGAGAGGGUAGGCGUGGUCGUUGUGAUAAUGACUCCCAACAGGGUGGAUUUAGGAGAGGGUAGGGGUGAUGGUAAUGACUCCCAACAGGGUGGAUUUAGGAGUGGGUAGGUGUGAUGGUAAUGACUCCCAACAGGGUGGAUCUAGGAGAGGAUAGGGGUGAUGGUAAUGACUCCCAACAGGGUGGAUCUAGGAGAGGUUAGGGGUGAUGGUAAUGACUCCCAACAGGGUGG